AACGAACGCUGGCGGCAGGCUUAACACAUGCAAGUCGAGCGAGACCUUCGGGUCUAGCGGCGGACGGGUGAGUAACGCGUGGGAACGUGCCCUUCUCUACGGAAUAGCCCCGGGAAACUGGGAGUAAUACCGUAUACGCCCUUUGGGGGAAAGAUUUAUCGGAGAAGGAUCGGCCCGCGUUGGAUUAGGUAGUUGGUGGGGUAAUGGCCCACCAAGCCGACGAUCCAUAGCUGGUUUGAGAGGAUGAUCAGCCACACUGGGACUGAGACACGGCCCAGACUCCUACGGGAGGAAGCAGUGGGGAAUCUUAGACAAUGGGGGCAACCCUGAUCUAGCCAUGCCGCGUGAGUGAUGAAGGCCUUAGGGUUGUAAAGCUCUUUCAGCUGGGAAGAUAAUGACGGUACCAGCAGAAGAAGCCCCGGCUAACUCCGUG
rnacentral:rRNA from 1 species